rnacentral:misc_RNA from 1 species
UGGUUCUGGCAUCGAUGAAGAACGCAGCGAAAUGCGAUAAGUAAUGCGAAUUGCAGAAUUCCAGUGAGUCAUCGAAUCUUUGAACGCACAUUGCGCCCUUUGGUAUUCCGAAGGGCAUGCCUGUUCGAGCGUCAUUAUCACCCCUCAAGCCCCCCGGCUUGGUGUUGGACGGUUUGGUGGGAAGCUCCUCGCGGGCCCCUGCCCCUCCCAAAGACAAUGACGGCGGCCUCGUUGGACCCCCGGUACACUGAGUUCUUCACGGGACACGUAUCGGACACAUGGGUUUACGGGGCACGGUCUGCCUCCCCUCAGGGAGAAUCUUUCUAAGGUUGACCUCGGAUCAGGUAGGGAUACCCGCUGA